AAGAAAUUAAUCAAAAUGUCUAAAACAAUAUCCGCGGAUUACACAUUCAUCCGGAAAAAAGUAAUCAGACGAAGUAGAGUAAAGUUGUCAAGAAACUAUCCUAAUAGUGUUUGUCAAAGAAGACAUGAAUGUAUCAAUCAUCGUUCUCAAGAAAUGUUGCUAUCAAUAAUGACAGACACGGAAAUCGGUAGUGACAUUCGCGCACCAAUUUAUCGUCCUCGAAAGACGUUAAAAAGUGGUAAUAAGAUUUUUAUAAAACCGGACACUCCAUCUCGAUUGAUAUUUUUGACAAGGGAUGAUAAGAGCAAGGCACCACGAAGUGAAAACUGGACAUUUGCUGAAGCACAAAAUCCAGAAGUUCAAUUUAAAUCAAUUGAUAGUCCAUGUAGAGUGAGCUACUGUCGAUGGUAUACGAAGUUGAAGCGAGAAGUUUUGAAAAGCUUGCGAACAAAAGUUUUUCCUGUCAGUGGGAUUCAAGAUUCGGAUGGUGGAUUUUUCGAGAAUUUAGGAACACUGUUAGCAGAAAAAGUUCGAGCUCAAGAACUCGCAGAAGGACCAUUACCAAUAAAAUCAGACAAAAGUGAUGAGGAAGAAGACGUAGUCAGCGAAGGAGGAAGUAUAGAAGAACCAACAGAAGCUUUGCUCGAAUCAGACAGCGACAGAGAUGAAAAUGAACGGGCUCUGGAUAUUGUCAUUGGCUCUGUCGGCUGGAAUAUCGAAGAACUUUACACGGCUCUUGUUUACAUGACGCAACACCAAAUCGGCUAUGAUGUUACAAAUGAGUGCGGACGGGAAGCUUUACUUAAUCAUCUGCAGCAAGCUUUCAAGGUUGACAGUGAAGUGCACUCACAAGUUAUAGAAGAAAUACAAAGUAUGGAGGCGCCAGUAAUGCAUCUCAAUGUCGAAGUAAUAGAAGCUAAAGAGCUUAUUUCGAAAGAUUCAAACGGCAAAAGUGAUCCAUUCUGUGCACUCUACCUCGAAUCAGCACCAACUCGAAGAUAUAACACAGCUGUUAAGACAAUGACGUUGGCGCCAGUUUGGGAGGAACAUUUCGAACUACCGCUUGAAGAUGCUGACAAUGAUACUCUGUGCCUUGAAGUUUGGGAUUUCGAUGCUGCUGAAACGGUACCGGAAAAGAUGAGCAAAGUCAAGGAUGUUAAAGGCGUGCGAGGGUUGGUAAAAUUAGCAAAAGAGAUUGCAGUUACCGCAACCACGGGUAGUCAUGACAACGAAUUCAUUGGUCGUUGCAAGAUUCCGUUGAAAGACAUUCCGGUUACUGGACAUACGACGUGGUAUUCACUUGAAAAGAAGAACAAAUCCAAACGACGUGGUGUUGUAAAACUUAGACUGGCAUUUAGUGCAGAGCAUAAUACUCAAGUAGCAGCGCAGGAACACAGGCAUCUAGUUAGGAUUCUACUUCUUCAUGAACUGGAAACAGAAAAAGUUGAAAAGUACUGCUGGUGUGGUCGUUGGUCUGCUCCAGCAGAAGCCUUGAUUCUUCAGCACAGCGCUCAACGUGGACUGCUGGCGAGAAAUGUCUUUUUGUCGCAAUGGGUUGAAUAUUCUCGGAUUCAUCAGCAGCAUCCGCUUCAUUUUGCUGUUUUCAACAAGGUUGCUGUUGAAUUACUCAGGCCUCUUGAGAAUGGCCUGUUCUCCAAAGAUGAAGAGAAAUUGUUCUGGGAUGCUACGAAGAAAAUUGUCUACUCUUGUUUAAAUAGUAUUAGAAAAAUUAGGAGGCUCUCUGCGGGUGAUAAAAAUGUUAUGACACAAAUGGGCGCUAUUUUGGGAAUUCUAUCAUCAAUUUCUUCACUCAGAAUACCUGAUGACUUUGAUUUGUUUCCUCAAAAAAUGUUCGGCUGGUUUCCUGAAUCCGAAGACACAAAAGUAGAUGUAAUGAAGGUUUUAGAGUACUCCGUAAUCCAAGGUGGAGCAGAAUGGUUUGAUCACAUAUUAAAUAAUAAUACUCCAGCGAGCGAUAGUGACGACGAUGCGCUCAAAUACCAAAUAAAAGUUAUCCAACUGAUUAGAGCAGAUCUUCAGCGUGCAAUGGAAAUUUACGACCGUAUGUUUAUAAAAAAAAUCAACUUUCCUUAUGCUCGGACACUUUACAUAAUGUAUGAAAAGCGAAUCAGUGACAUGUGCAUGGUAAUUAUCGAAGAUGUGUGUCUUCGUCUAAAACGAAUCGAAGUUGAUAGCACUGACGAAGUAGAGCUAACAUUGGGGACAACAUUGUUUGAACUUUAUCUAACUCUCCAGCGAUAUGCUAUGUUAAGUAACAUGUUUUGUCUAGAUGGAAUCGAUCACAUGAAAAUCCAAAGUUACCACGAAUGGUUCCGAGCUGGAGUUUCGCACUGGUUAGAUAUAUCUGUGUACAAAGCAUUGAAGAGGAUUGAAAGGGCUGUUGAAUUCGACACCCUUCAACCAGUUGACUCUAGUGUCCAGUACAGCUCUAGCGCUGUUGAUACUUUGACGAUUUUUUACCAAAUAAAGGUCUUUUGGACUCAAUUAGCUUGGCCAGAUGUCGAAGGCUCUUAUACAUUUAUUGCAAAGAUAAUUGACGACAUAUGCAAAUGCACGAUUUCGUAUGCAGACAUGAUGGCGUCAAAAGCUGAAAAAGUUGAUCAACAGAUCCAGAGCUUGGACAACAAUAGCAGCGUUUAUGAUAAAAAGUUCGAAGUCUCUAACGCUUGGUGCUUUGCUAUUAACAAUAUUGACUACAUCAGAACUUCAAUUGGGCCAUUGACCCACGACUUAGGCCUUCAAGAUAUAAUCGACAGCUUGAGUGAGAACAAAACUCAGCAAGAAGCUGAUCGCUGUCGACAAACUCUGGAGCUUCUUAUCAACAACACGAUGGACACUGUGAAGAACAAAAUCAUUGAGCUGCUAGAAGUUGUAGCGAAUAAAAUGCAGCCUGCGAUGAGCAGAUAUCUGAUGGAAGGUGCUGAGUUGAUAGACACUACAAGCAAUGCGAUGGAUCGCUUGUUGCAAUAUUUGGACACAAACAUCACGGUAUUGCAUGACAAUCUCAAUGAAGACAAUUUUGAGAGAGUUCUCUUAGUGAUUUGGGAAAUAAUGUCUGAAACUUUGUAUAAACUCGUGUACGCCAAUUUGGAAAAGCGCAGGCCUCCAUCAUUUUACUCCAAUCUAAAUCGUACUUUGCACACGUUGAUAAGGUUCUUCAAUUUAGGCGCCGAUGAGACUUCAAAUGUCAAAAUUUUGGAGAAAAUUGAACGGCUUCUCAGUCUCCAUGGGCUUGAAACUGCGGAUUUGAUCCAUCGUUAUUAUUUGGAACGGGCUCAGCAACAGAAGGAUAUUGAAGAAACUUCACAUGGUAUGCUGACUGUGCGCGCUCAGUUUAUCAGUAAUUUACUGAAUGUCCAGAUUCUUAAUGCCAGAAACUUGCGGCCUAUGGAUAGUAACGGAGAUUUGAUAGGCAAGCUGUCUACUCUUGAGCGCAAACUACAUUCAAAGAGUAAACAACCGACUAAAAGACUGAAAGAGGAAAGUGUGAUUCUUACGUCAAAAUAAGACUAUUACCGGAGGAAAAAUUCUGUGAAGUUAAGCUGCCAAAGACUCAUGUGCAGAAAGAAACGCUUUUUCCUCUUUUUGAUGAGACUGUGAACAUAGCUUUGACUCCUGAGCAGAGAAAUAUUGAAAAUGCAAUUUUGGUGUUUGAAGUCAAAGACAAAGAUUUUCUACGGACGAAAUUUAUGGCAGAAGCAUUUUUGCAGUUCAGUGAUAUUCCAGAUACUGGUCAUGAUG
rnacentral:misc_RNA from 1 species